rnacentral:rRNA from 1 species
AACGAACGCUGGCGGCAGGCCUAACACAUGCAAGUCGAGCGAGGACUUCGGUCCUAGCGGCGGACGGGUGAGUAACGCGUGGGAACGUGCCCUUUGCUUCGGAAUAGCCCUGGGAAACUGGGAGUAAUACCGGAUGAGCCCUUUGGGGGAAAGAUUUAUCGGCGAAGGAUCGGCCCGCGUUGGAUUAGGUAGUUGGUGGGGUAAUGGCCUACCAAGCCGACGAUCCAUAGCUGGUUUGAGAGGAUGAUCAGGCACACUGGGACUGAGACACGGCCCAGACUCCUACGGGAGGCAGCAGUGGGGAAUCUUAGACAAUGGGGGAAACCCUGAUCAAGCCAUGCCGCGUGAGCGAUGAAGGCCUUAGGGUUGUAAAGCUCUUUCAGCUGGGAAGAUAAUGACGGUACCAGCAGAAGAAGCCCCGGCUAACUCCGUG